rnacentral:rRNA from 1 species
UACGAAGGAUGCGAGCGUUAUCCGGAUUAUUGGGUUAAAGGGAGCGUAGGCGUCUUAUAAGUCAGUGGUGAAAUCUCGUUGCUUAACAACGAACGUGCCAUUGAUACUGUAGGACUUGAGUACAGUUGCCGUUGGCGGAAUGUGUCAUGUAGCGGUGAAAUGCAUAGAUAUGACACAGAACACCGAUUGCGAAGGCAGCUGACGAAACUGUAACGUGACGCUGAGGCUCGAAAGCGUGGGAUCAACAGG